CGUCUAGUUAGCAAUUAUACAGCGAAACUGCGAAUGGCUCAUUAUAUAAGUUAUCGUUUAUUUGAUAGUACCUUACUACUUGGAUAACCGUGGUAAUUCUAGAGCUAAUACAUGCUAAAAAUCCCGACUUCGGAAGGGAUGUAUUUAUUAGAUUAAAAACCAAUGCCCUUCGGGGCUCACUGGUGAUUCAUGAUAACUCCUCGAAUCGCAUGGCCUUGUGCCGGCGAUGGUUCAUUCAAAUUUCUUCCCUAUCAACUUUCGAUGUUUGGGUAUUGGCCUGACAUGGUUGCAACGGGUAACGGAGGGUUAGGGCUCGACCCCGGAGAAGGAGCCUGAGAAACGGCUACUACAUCCAAGGAAGGCAGCAGGCGCGCAAAUUACCCAAUCCCGACUCGGGGAGGUAGUGACAAUAAAUACUGAUACAGGGCUCUUUUGGGUCUUGUAAUUGGAAUGAGUACAAUUUAAAUCCCUUAACGAGGAACAAUUGGAGGGCAAGUCUGGUGCCAGCAGCCGCGGUAAUUCCAGCUCCAAUAGCGUAUAUUAAAGUUGUUGUGGUUAAAAAGCUCGUAGUUGAACCUUGGGCCUGGCUGGCCGGUCCGCCUCACCGCGUGUACUGGUCCGGCCGGGCCUUUCCCUCUGUGGAACCCCAUGCCCUUCACUGGGCGUGGCGGGGAAACAGGACUUUUACUGUGAAAAAAUUAGAGUGCUCCAAGCAGGCCUAUGCUCGAAUACAUUAGCAUGGAAUAAUAGAAUAGGACGUGUGGUUCUAUUUUGUUGGUUUCUAGGACCGCCGUAAUGAUUAAUAGGGACAGUCGGGGGCAUCAGUAUUCAAUUGUCAGAGGUGAAAUUCUUGGAUUUAAUGGAGACUACCUACUGCAAAAGAUUUGCCAUGGAUGUUUUCAUUAAUCCAGAACGAAGGUUAGGGGAUCGAAGACGAUGGAAUAG
rnacentral:rRNA from 1 species